rnacentral:rRNA from 1 species
GCAAGUCGAACGGCAAGAUCUCGCUUGCGAGAUACACGAGUGGCGAACGGGUGCGUAACGCGUAUGCAACCUACCUUCAACUAGAGAAUAGCCCCGAGAAAUCGAGAUUAAUACUCCAUAAUGUUCAGUUUUCACCUGAUUACUGAAUUAAAGCUCCGGCGGUUGAAGAUGGGCAUGCGUGACAUUAGUUAGUUGGUGAGGUAACGGCUCACCAAGACUUCGAUGUCUAGGGGUUCUGAGAGGAAGGUC